rnacentral:misc_RNA from 1 species
GAUGAAGAACGUAGCGAAAUGCGAUACGUAAUGUGAAUUGCAGAAUUCAGUGAAUCAUCGAGUCUUUGAACGCACAUUGCGCCCCCUGGUAUUCCGGGGGGCAUACCUGUCCGAGCGUCAUUGCUGCCCUCAGGCACGGCUUGUGUGUUGGGCCUCCGUCCUCCUCCCGGGGGACGGGCCCGAAAGGCAGCGGCGGCACCGCGUCCGGUCCUCGAGCGUAUGGGGCUUCGUCACCCGCUCUUGUAGGCCCGGCCGGCGCUUGCCGACACAUCAAUCUUUUUUCCAGGUUGACCUCGGAUCAGGUAGGGAUACCCGCUGAACUUAAGCAUAUCAAUAAGCGGAGGA